rnacentral:rRNA from 1 species
UACGAAGGGGGCUAGCGUUGCUCGGAAUCACUGGGCGUAAAGCGCACGUAGGCGGAUUGUUAAGUCAGGGGGUGAAAUCCUGGAGCUCAACUCCAGAACUGCCUUUGAUACUGGCGAUCGUUGAGUCCGGGAGAGGUGAGUGGAACUCCGAGUGUAGAGGUGAAAUUCGUAGAUAUUCGGAAGAACACCAGUGGCGAAGGCGGCUCACUGGCCCGGUACUGACGCUGAGGUGCGAAAGCGUGGGGAGCAACAGG